rnacentral:rRNA from 1 species
ACACCGGCAGCUCAAGUGGUAGCCGCUUUUAUUGGGCCUAAAGCGUCCGUAGCCGGUCUGAUAAGUCUCUGGUGAAAUCCCACAGCUUAACUGUGGGAAUUGCUGGAGAUACUAUCAUGACUCGAGGUCGGGAGAGGCUGGAGGUACUCCCAGGGUAGGGGUGAAAUCCUAUAAUCCUGGGAGGACCACCUGUGGCGAAGGCGUCCAGCUGGAACGAACCUGACGGUGAGGGACGAAAGCCAGGGGCGCGAACCGGAUUAGAUACCCGGGUAGUCCUGGCCGUAAACGAUGUGGACUUGGUGUUGGGAUGGCUUCGAGCUGCCCCAGUGCCGAAGGGAAGCUGUUAAGUCCACCGCCUGGGAAGUACGGCCGCAAGGCUGAAACUUAAAGGAAUUGGCGGGG